AGGAGGGCCCCUGGGAGGGUAACCACGAGAUUCACACGGGCUCACGAGGAUUUGGUAGCCCCACAAAUCCUUGGUCCCUGUGGCACCUCCUUUGCAGACGAGAGUUGGCAAUCAGACAGAACAGUUCUUGAGGCUGCACACCUGGCCUAGGGGGAGGGGCCGGGGGCCAGGUGCAGCCCGGAGCAAGCGGAGGGACUGGAGGAAACUGGGCCGGGCUCCAGCGCAGGGUAACGGAGAGGUGGGAUCAGAUCAGGACUGGGGAACAAGGGCUUCGCCCCCCACCUCUCCCUGCCUUGAGAAGCCACUGGAGGAUUCUGAGCCUGCGAGAGACACGGUUGGACUUGCGUUUUAUAAGGAUGGUUUGGGCUUCAGUGCGGAAAACAGGCUGAAGAGGAAUGAGAGGGUGAAGCCGGGAGAAGGUCAGCUAACACAGAGGAGUGGGGAUGGCCACUGGCCCCUGGGUCCCAGGAGCCCAGAAGGGGCCAGGUUUCCCGCACGUUUCAAGUUUGAGCUGACAAGACUCGCUGGUCUGGAUGGGAUACAAGAGAGACAGGCGCCGAGGACACUUCCAAGCGUUUUGACCUGAGGAAAUGAAAGCAAGGUGUUUCCAUUUGCUGUGGGAGGGCAGGUUGGAGGCUAGCAGGUGGGGGACACACUGUUUGGAACUGGUUAAGCGUCAGGAGCCGUGAGCUGUCCACCAGAGAUGUUGGGCAGGCCUGGAGUGCAGGUGCAGGGGGCCAGCUAGAGGCAGGCGGCUUUUGGCAGGGGGGUGUCCCUAGAAAGAUGGUUCUCAGCCCCAUGGAAGGAAGAGACCAUCCAUGGAGAGCUGCGACAGACAGAAGAAGCAGAGUCAGGAUCCCUGGGCCAGGGCCAGGUUAACAGGGAGACGAGGAGCAAGAGGAAAGGUGGGAGGUCAAGAGAAGGGCGUGUUCAGAGCGGAGGGAGUGACCAGCUGUGCCCAUUGCUGCUGGUGAGUAGACCAAGGGUAACCUCUGGGGCCAGCCACAUAGUGGUCAGCACCGACCUUGCCAAAGGCUAUUUGGGUGGAGUGGCUCAGAGAUCACAGAUUGCAGUGGCCUCAGGAGAUCACAGGAGGAGAGCGGUCAUGGAGAGACCACCCUGACGAUGGAGGGUCCUAGAAGAGAAUCAGAUAAACAGGGCUGGCGUUGGGGGAUUUGGGGGGGGGGGUCAAGGGUGGUGUUUUUUUUUUUUAACGUGGGAGACAUUCCAGCAUGUUUGUUGCCUGCUGAUAAGGACGAUCCAGGAGAGGGGAUGUGGGUGACACGGCUCUGCAGAGAAGCCAGAGAAGGGAAAUGGAGACGAGAAGAUGCAAAGGCCCCUCACCAGCUCCAUGCCUGGGGGCCGGAGCACUAGAGGCAGCACGCUGGACUCCACUGGGACCAGCAUUUGUCCAGCAAAUAAGUGGAGGGAAAGGGCAGGGGGCUGAGGGUAGAUGCAACCGAGGGAUUCAUCUGUAACCUGAGUGAGGAGAGGCAGAG
ensembl:lncRNA